UUGGCGCCAUUGGAAACAUUUGCAUCGCACACAAUACAAGGUGUAUCGAGUGACGAGUAGCAAAUCGCAAAUCGCAAAUCGCAAUUCGCAACCACUAUCUAUCCCUUUGAUUUGAAUUCCUUGCUUUAUUCUACUUUUUCCCCGUUUGUUCCCUUCUAGGGCGAACUUUUCCUGUUCCCAUUGACUCGCAUUUCUUCAGAUACGGUGCUCCACUUUUCCGCACCCAUAGUACCACUCCAUCGCUUCCAAAUCUACCAUUUCCUUUUCUCCCCAGAAUCCAGAAUCAUUGAGGAAAGCAUUCUACGAAAGUUUCAGUUGUCGUUGGCAUCGAUUAUUGUCCUGUUUUACAUCUUGCAUGGACGCCGUUACGAGAAACCCAAGACCGACACGCAAAACUUCUAUAAGAUUUUCCCACCUCAUUGGCAACAUUCUGCCACCUAUCUGGGGUUUCUCUAUCAUAUUUAGCCAGGGCUCUUUCAAAUAGUUUGUUUUGCCUUGGUGUCCAAGAUGAUGCCAUCUGAAGGCAAGAAGAUGAAGUUUCAACUUAGUGCUGUCUUAAGCAAAGGUAAUAUUAACAGGUUGGAAAGGAAUUUAGAAAUAUGAAGUGGCUUAGUGAGUUUCACAAACUGGAAAAAGAUAAAAGAAAUAAUUGCUUCAGGCAAGAAUGGUAUAGGAAAACAAUAACCAAGUUAGUCCCUUAUAUGUAGGAGGAAAAGUGUUGCUGUGGUUAUUGGUUCAGCCUGUUGGACGAAUAUGUUUCUCAAAAGGACAGAAGAUAAAGUGACUUGUUCUUCAUUCCCUCUUGGAACUACUUUAUGAAUCGAGAAAGUGGACAAUAAGUGGAAGAGGGGAAUCAAGAUCAAAGGAUAUGUCUUUUAUUGUUUUCACCAAAGGUUCUCCUUUAUUUUGUAAUUGGCAAGUUGGACUUAUCUUUAUAGAUUCUGGUCAGUGGUUUGUUGUUAAAAUUCAACAUGAAAUGACCAGACG